GAUGAACGCUGGCGGCGUGCCUAAUACAUGCAAGUCGAGCGAACAGACGAGGAGCUUGCUCCUCUGACGUUAGCGGCGGACGGGUUAGUAACACGUGGAUAACCUACCUAUAAGACUGGGAUAACUUCGGGAAACCGGAUCUAAUACCGGAUAAUAUAUUGAACCGCAUGGUUCAAUAGUGAAAGACGGUUUUGCUGUCACUUAUAGAUGGAUCCGCGCCGCAUUAGCUAGUUGGUAAGGUAACGGCUUACCAAGGCAACGAUGCGUAGCCGACCUGAGAGGGUGAUCGGCCACACUGGAACUGAGACACGGUCCAGACUCCUACGGGAGGCAGCAGUAGGGAAUCUUCCGCAAUGGGCGAAAGCCUGACGGAGCAACGCCGCGUGAGUGAUGAAGGUCUUCGGAUCGUAAAACUCUGUUAUUAGGGAAGAACAAAUGUGUAAGUAACUAUGCACGUCUUGACGGUACCUAAUCAGAAAGCCACGGCUAACUACGUG
rnacentral:rRNA from 1 species